CCACCGGGAUGUGCGGUGUACAGGGUGGAAUGAGCUUCUUCCAAUAUCUUGUUUCUCAAGGCUUCAUCCUUAGGCACGUAAAUUCUUCCUCUAAAUAUCAGUGUCUGAUCCUCAGCUAUUCCAAAGUCCUUUUUCUUAUCGGUACCAACUUCAUUCUUAAUCUUCUGUAAAAAUGAGUCUUUAUUUUGUGCUUCUACAAUU
rnacentral:lncRNA from 1 species